rnacentral:rRNA from 1 species
CCUACGGGGGGCAGCAGUGGGGAAUAUUGGACAAUGGGGGCAACCCUGAUCCAGCCAUGCCGCGUGUGUGAAGAAGGCCCUCGGGUUGUAAAGCACUUUCAGUGAGGAAGAACGCCUGGUGGUUAAUACCCAUCAGGAAAGACAUCACUCACAGAAGAAGCACCGGCUAACUCCGUGCCAGCAGCCGCGGUAAUACGGAGGGUGCGAGCGUUAAUCGGAAUUACUGGGCGUAAAGCGCGCGUAGGUGGCUUGAUAAGCCGGUUGUGAAGGCCCCGGGCUCAACCUGGGAACGGCAUCCGGAACUGUCAAGCUAGAGUGCAGGAGAGGAAGGUAGAAUUCCCGGUGUAGCGGUGAAAUGCGUAGAGAUCGGGAGGAAUACCAGUGGCGAAGGCGGCCUUCUGGACUGACACUGACACUGAGGUGCGAAAGCGUGGGUAGCAAACAGGAUUAGAUACCCUGGUAGUC